rnacentral:rRNA from 1 species
GAUUUGGCCCAAACCUGCGCAAGUCCAUUGGAACAUGGCGCCCAAGAGGGUGAGAGCCCCGUCGCGCAGGCCGCAGCCUUGACAUCCCCCCGUCAAAGAGUCGAGUUGUUUGGGAAUGCAGCUCAAAGUGGGUGGUAAAUUCCAUCUAAAGCUAAAUAUUGGCGAGAGACCGAUAGCGAACAAGUACAGUGAUGGAAAGAUGAAAAGCACUUUGAAAAGAGAGUGAAACAGUACGUGAAAUUGUUGAAAGGGAAGGGCUUGCAAGCAGACACGAGUUCGCUCGGGCCAGCAUCAAUUUCGCGAGGUGGACAACACGCCAGGAAUGUGGCAGGCUCCGGCCUGUGUUAUAGCCUGCGCGCCAUACACCUCCGCGAGAUUGAGGCCUGCUCCAAAAGGAUGCUGGCGUAAUGGUUGCAAGUCGCCCGUCUUGA